rnacentral:tRNA from 1 species
CGCGGGAUAGAGCAGUUGGCAGCUCGCCAGGCCCAUAACCUGGAGGUCGCCGGUUCGAGUCCGGCUCCCGCAACCA